AUGGGAUGCCCGGUAUCUGACAGCAAAGGCCAAUCGGAGUGGGCAAGAGGCGGGCCUUCCGGCGCAGGCACCCACCGGGCUGUCCGAUUGAACAAACAGUGAAACAGAGGGACAAUGGAAAGAUCUGAACUUUGGUGAAAUCCUACACCAAGCAUAACUCGGUUGAAAUUUUAAUAAAAAGGUGCAACUACAAGUAAAGACAUUUGUGGUGAUCGGACUGGGGGAGGGCUAGAAAUGUUGUUUGCAAGAUGAAUUAUUACUUUAAAAAGGCUGAUUUAAUAGACUGAUGCAGGCCCAUUAACCAUGUAACUGUGCCACUUCUGUCUCUCGGGCACAGCAAAUACUGCUCUCAACAGCUGCUGGUCAGCUGCUGAUUGGCUGGAAGCACUGCCAAAAUCUGGUAGUGGUCACAACUGGAACUACAAGCAUCCCCUCAGGGAAGAUCCACAUCAAUGGGAUUCUUGGUCAAGUAGGGAUUGGGAAGCCAAGUGCUAGAAGGACCACCACCCUGAGGGGCACAGAGCACCUGCCAAAAGAGGCACCUCUCCUUUCUUCCCAUUGAUCACCUGAGAUGAAGUAGUGGAGUGUCCUUUUCCUUCGAUCUUCCUCAGCUGCAUGCAUUAUUGGUGGGGGAUGGUCUCCGUAAGCCAAAGGGUUCAUGGCCUUACCUGCCCCUAUCAUAUAAUGAAGAGCAGGAUUGGCCUGUUCUGGCACAGCAGUGGUGUCCAUAUCUUUUGAGCAGGAUGUUUGGGUUCAAAUCCUACCUGAUCCAGAGGUGCAUCAUAAUAUAUGAACAGGUUGAUUAAAAAUAUUUAAAGUAGUGGGCAGGAAGGGUGUGGGAUAGUCAUCUCCCCCAUUUAUGUGCCACCCUAACUGCAAAUAUACUUGCUGAGCUGCUGUAAAAUUGCUCAUUGUCAAUCAAUUCAUGCCCACAAACAGCCUCCCCAAACUCUUCGACCUCCGAUGCACCAGCAUGUUAUCCACAUGUGGAAAUUACUCAUAAAAUCUCCUGGAAGAUCUCAAUGGAUUUAUCACAGUCUCCAGGACCCUAAUUCUGUGCCUUGUUUCAUGGACCAAUGACACUUUACUGGGAGCAACAGUAAACAGCAAAAACAGGGAAACAGGAAAACUGAAACCAGUCAAACUAUAAGAAACACAUGCUGCUAUUUGUUUUAUCUUCUUUAUAGAGUCUCAGAAAUAGUUCAGAAGCACUAUGUGUACAUUCUUUACUUUAAAAUGUAGCAAUUGUUGUGCAGCCAAAUCAAAAAAUGACACAGCCAUUUUGUGUGCAGCAAGUUGGACAAACAAGAAAUGAUGUGAAUAGCCUAUUGAUUCGUUUUACAAUUACAAUUUCCUGCAAAUUAAAGAAGCAAAUGUUAUGUAGUUAUGUUAAACAUCAUAAUACUGAUAUACACAGUCAUUCCAGGCUAAUAUCUUUUUACUAAGUAAAUCUCAUUUUACAGUUCCUCAACAGCUAAACUUUUGUUUACCAUCAAAUUAAAUGAAAUCAAGGAUACAUUGCAAUUCUUUUUGUACCACCAUGUUAUGUGUCCAAGCACCAAAAGAAAGUACCAUUAAUUUCUCUAUCAAGCUUGUUUCACCAUGUGUGUAAUUGAUAUGCAAUGCCUUUGCAGAAAAGUCUGUUUAAACCCGACUAAGAGACCAAACAAUUCAUCUUUUGCUGAAUCAAACACAUAUAUAAAGUUGGGCAAAACAUUGCUAUACUUACUUUGCCCAAUACCUCAAGUACAAACUCUACGGUUUCUCCACCUU